GUUUAACUUUCGGUGGGGCGUCCUCUUAAUAUUUUUCUGAAAUCAGAAUCAAAAUUCACCAAGAUUACCUACAUACUUUUUAUGUUAUUGUUAAUAAACCACAUAAAACCUAAUUAUAAUUUUAUUUUAAUAAUUUGCAUAUUAAAGUUUUUCAAAAUUAUUUUUUUGGAUUCUGUUUUCACUCAGCAUGUAAUAACAAAGAAGUUUUUGGUGAAGAAUUAACUAAUAUUUUUUCGAUAUACCAAACAUAACACAUUAAAAUGCGUUCAUGGACAUCCUUUCAAGUAAUGUUUUGAAAGUUAAUUACAUUGACGAAUAUGUAUGGAAAUUUCGAGAUUAUUCCAAGAAUUUACAUCGAAAAAAAGUAAAUUUUAAAAUUCUACUAAAUAUUUUGUUAUUUAUAAAUAUUUAAUAAUUUGACUUUAUAAUAGUAUAAUUUCACCAUGCCCUUCAACUCUUCCCCACCCAUUGGGUUUUAUUAUUAUUGGCCAAUUAUUUUAGCUUAAGUAAGUUCAAAAAAUAAAAAGUAUUAAAUAAACUGUAUAUUGUCCAAAAGUAAAAUGUGAUGUUUAUGUAUCUAUAAGAAAGGAUAUAUGUUUCACUAUUUCUUUCAAAUCGAAAAAUAUUAAUUAGUAUAUAUUAUUAAAAUAAUUAAUAUAUUUUGAAGUACCAUCAAAUUAAGUAUACAAAAAUACACAUUUUGGAAAAAAAAAUUUAAUAAAUUGCUUUGGAGCUAAACUGCAUUAGUUCCAUAAUACCUAGUUAUUAUCUAAUACACCUAAUGUUUCACUAUUAGAUUAAUAUUUUAUUUAAAUGUAUGUUUUAUGACUAAUUUGUUCCCAGAAUGUGGUGUUUAGUAUCAUUAUCAUAUGGUAAUGACAAUAAUGCAGAUGAAAAGGUCCAGAUUUAAUACCAAAUGAUCAAAUAAUCAAUAAAUUAAAUUGUUGGUAUCCACUGGAUUUCAAAAUGUUUACAAUUGAAAAGAUAUGCUCUAAGACAAUGGAAAACCCUGCAUAUGAAAUAAGUGGAAAAAAUGUAAGAUUGAUAUUAUAGAAAAAAAUUUAUGUAAUUUAUUUAUUUAUGCAAUCUAGUAUGAAUUCAAUACACAUAAAAUAUGUAAUAUACUGAUUAAAUGUAUAGAUAA